UGAGCAAAGUAGUUUAUUUUGGGAACUGUCCCCCCAAGAAUGGCUUUCUUAGAAUAUGCCUGUCACCACUACUGUUCUGGUUCUCACACUGGUUUCUCUGAACUGAGUUUUUCCUAUUCAAGAAGGAUUUACCUAAUUUAUCCAGAGAACAUCAGUUUUGUCUGUUAUACAAAGAAGAGUAGAGAAUGAAAUUUUGGACACCUAAUCCUUUAGAACAGAUUUCCACAAUUCAUUAGUUAAGAAUAUAAAAGCUGGGCGCCUGGGUGGCUCAGUGGGUUAA